AACGAACGCUGGCGGCAGGCCUAACACAUGCAAGUCGAACGAUAAGCCACCUUCGGGUGGUGGAAAGUGGCGCACGGGUGAGUAACGCGUGGGAACCUACCCAGGGGUACGGAAUAACUCAGGGAAACUUGAGCUAAUACCGUAUACACCUUACGAGGGAAAGAUUUAUCGCCCCUGGACGGGCCCGCGUCGGAUUAGCUAGUUGGUGAGGUAAUGGCUCACCAAGGCUACGAUCCGUAGCUGGUCUGAGAGGAUGAUCAGCCACACUGGAACUGAGACACGGUCCAGACUCCUACGGGAGGCAGCAGUGGGGAAUAUUGGGCAAUGGGCGCAAGCCUGACCCAGCCAUGCCGCGUGGGUGAAGAAGGUCUUAGGAUGUAAGCCUUUCAGCAGGGAAGAUGAUGACGGUACCUGCAGAAGAAG
rnacentral:rRNA from 1 species